rnacentral:rRNA from 1 species
AAACUGUGGUUAAGGAACUCGGCAAAAUGCCCCCGUAACUUCGGGAGAAGGGGGACCAGUCCUGGUGACGACAUUUACUGUCUGAGCUGGGGUUGGUCGCAGAGACCAGAGAGAAGCGACUGUUUACUAAAAACACAGGUCCGUGCGAAGUCGUAAGACGAUGUAUACGGACUGACGCCUGCCCGGUGCUGGAAGGUUAAGAGGACCGGUCAGCCACUUCGGUGGCGAAGCUGAGAAUUUAAGCCCCAGUAAACGGCGGUGGUAACUAUAACCAUCCUAAGGUAGCGAAAUUCCUUGUCGGGUAAGUUCCGACCUGCACGAAUGGCGUAACGACUUCUCUGCUGUCUCAACCACAGACUCGGCGAAAUUGCAGUACGAGUACAGAUGCUCGUUACGCGCGGCAGGACGAAAAGACCCCGGGACCUUCACUAUAGCUUGGUAUUGGUGUUCGGUUCGGUUUGUGUAGGAUAGGUGGGAGACUGUGAAACUCGCACGCCAGUGUGGGUGGAGUCAUUGUUGAAAUACCACUCUGACCGUAUUGGACAUCUAACCUCGGACCAUGAUCUGGUUCAGGGACAGUGCCUGGUGGGUAGUUUAACUGGGGCGGUUGCCUCCUAAAAAGUAACGGAGGCGCCCAAAGGUUCCCUCAGCCUGGUUGGCAAUCAGGUGUUGAGUGUAAGUGCACAAGGGAGCUUGACUGUGAGACGUACAUGUCGAGCAGGGACGAAAGUCGGGACUAGUGAUCCGGCACCGGCAAGUGGAAGCGGUGUCGCUCAACGGAUAAAAGGUACCCCGGGGAUAACAGGCUGAUCUUCCCCAAGAGUCCAUAUCGACGGGAUGGUUUGGCACCUCGAUGUCGGCUCGUCGCAUCCUGGGGCUGGAGUAGGUCCCAAGGGUUGGGCUGUUCGCCCAUUAAAGCGGCACGCGAGCUGGGUUUAGAACGUCGUGAGACAGUUCGGUCUCUAUCCGCCGCGCGCGUAAGAAACUUGAGGAAACCUGUCCCUAGUACGAGAGGACCGGGACGGACGAACCUCUGGUGUGCCAGUUGUUCCACCAGGAGCACCGCUGGUUAGCUACGUUCGGAAGGGAUAACCGCUGAAAGCAUCUAAGCGGGAAGCCUGUUCCAAGAUGAGGUUUCUCACCACCUAGCGUGGUUAAGGCCCCCCACAGACCAUGGGGUUGAUAGGCCAGAACUGUAAGCACAGCAAUGUGUUCAGGUGACUGGUACUAAUCGGCCGAGGACUCAAC